rnacentral:rRNA from 1 species
UACGUAGGGUGCAAGCGUUAAUCGGAAUACUGGGCGUAAAGCGCACGCAGGCGGGUGUGCGCGUGGGGUGUGAAAUCUGGCCGCUUAACGGCCAGGCGCCAUCCCAUACGGCACGCCUGGAGUGAUGCAGAGGUCGAUGGAAUUGCCGGUGUAGUGGUGAAAUGCGCAGAUAUCAGGAGGAACACCGGUGGCGAAGGCGGGUCUCUGGGCCGAUACUGACGCUGGAGGCGCGAAAGCGUGGGGAGCAAACAGG